UACGGGGGGAGCAAGCGUUGUUCGGAUUUACUGGGCGUAAAGCGCGCGUAGGCGGCUUUGUAAGUUAGAGGUGAAAGCCCGGGGCUCAACCCCGGAACUGCCUUUAAGACUGCAUCGCUUGAAUCCGGGAGAGGUGAGUGGAAUUCCGAGUGUAGAGGUGAAAUUCGUAGAUAUUCGGAAGAACACCAGUGGCGAAGGCGGCUCACUGGACCGGUAUUGACGCUGAGGUGCGAAAGCGUGGGGAGCAAACAGG
rnacentral:rRNA from 1 species